GCUUCACUGAAAGACCGGGUGCCAUAGGCUGUAAGUCUAAGAUUAUGUUAAACAUUGACUUGUCAGUUAUUUGGUUUCCUCUCUCACCAUGACCUGUUCUAGAUUCAUCUACUUUUUUAUGUUUUUAAUCAGACUCAGCAGUAACACAUAUUAGUGAAGCAGUAAUAAUGGAAAAAUAGAGCAUCCUUUGCUCAACGUGUCCUAAAAAAGAUGUUGUCACUUGAGUCACCCAAAAAAGCCAGCCAUCUGUCCACAAGGCAAGAUACACAUUCAAGUAAAUGUGCAUUUCCUCCUCUGAAAGCCAUUGUGAAUCACUACAUUAUAAACAUAUUAUUAUGUGUUGUUCCCAGGCAAAAUUAUACCAAAAUUAAAACCACCAGCAUGUCUUAGACUUCACCCUACAAGAUACCAGGCUCUCUGUUCUUGCUGCAAAUAGUUAUCUAGACCUCAAUAAGGAAGACCAAAAUAUAUUUCUUCCUCAUGCCUCAGAGUUUUGCAUGGUAAUUGUAUUUAAUUCACAGUGUGCAUAUGCUCAAGUUUAAGUAGCAUGUUUUGGCUUUACAACAACCAGUGACCAGCAUAAGUCCUGUAAGUGCUUGCUUCCAGAUCCCAGCUUCAUCAAAUCCCCAGCUUCACCAAAUUCUUUUUGUUCUUUUUGCUGCAGCAAACAGCAAGCAGAAGAGCCUCUCUGCCAAAUGCAAGAAUGCUCAUAGGAACUCAGGCUCUCAUCAGUUCUCCACUGGGCACAAUCUCAAACUUGGCACCACGAGAAGAGGUCGAAACACAAAACCACAGAGGUGCUGUGAUUUUGAAACAAGGAACCACUCAGACAAAUAGGCCCAGCACAUGUCCAGCACAUAGCUGUGCUGGCCACUCAGAAAAGGGCCGAAGACCAUGCAGGUGUUCUGCCAUGGAGAAAAGUUAACAGGGACAAGUUACAUUCAGUUUACAAGAGUUGAUACCCCAUGUGGUUUAGGUGAGUGCCAGAUGUUACCGUUCAUCUCCAAACAUGAGAUCAGAAUAUAUCUGCCGGGUCUGAGAUAAUUUGGUAAAGUGACAAUAUGUGCAGUCAGAGGCUUAUUUGGCACAAAACAACACCCAUUGUCUAGAAAACAUUGGAAGGAUUGUAAUAGAAGAAACAUCCAGUCUUUUGCCUAUUUGCCUUUUUUUUCCUUUUAUUAAUCUAUAAAAGCAAAGCAGGUUUACUAUUUAACCUUUUAGAUAUUAGUAAAAAAUGAGACUUCACCAUUACCAAUUCAAUUUAACAUCUUCCUUUGCAUUGGUUAGUGUUUCUAAUGCUCCAUGCCUACAGCUGGGCUGUUCAAGCAAAUCUAGUUCACAAUGUGUAUCCACAUAACUUUUAACCAUAGGUUUUCACUUGUUAUAAAAUUUCAGAAAAUAUCAGUAAUAACCAGUAUCAAUUAAAACAUGCCUGAAAAACAGUGUAAAUACGAUCUGGAAAUUGAUUUAGGAAUUAUUAUGGAUCUGUACCAGUCUAGAUUUGAAACUCAGACCUUAUCAUCAGUGCAAUGGAAGGGAGUCAGAAUAAUCUUCUCUCUCUUCACAAAAUGUUUUUUUAUUCAGUUCAGUUUUUGGCAAUUAACAAAAUUUACUUUAAUUUGUCCUAAAUGUCUU
rnacentral:lncRNA from 1 species